UUCAUUGUGUUCGCAUGCUCUUCACCCUGCUCCUGCCCACUCUGCUUUUCACCUGCCCCCUGAUAACCCAUUCAGUCCUGAAAGGUCCUUAGUGCCUGGAUUUUGUCAUCCAGCCCUGCAGGAUGCUCCCAUUUGUCCUGAGGAAGGCUGUCCCAGAUGGAGAAGAGGAGAUGGAGGUGGAUAUAGAGAUUGAUAGAGAGGAGGACAUGGAGACGGAGGGAGCAGACACUGGAGAAGAGGAGAUGGAGGUGGAGGUGGUUGUGGAAGAGGAGAUGGAAGUGGAUAUGGAAGAGUCCAUUGAGGUCAUGGACAUUGAUUAAAAAGGUGUGAUGGACAUCAUGGAGUGAGAUGCUGUGGGAGCUCAGUACAUCACUCCGGAUGUCCAGAGCUACUGAGACAACCCUUGGGGGGCUCGGAGGUCCUGGAAUGUUGCCAAAAGUACCUGGUGGCUUGACUUUUAAAGAAAUGACACCUGAAGGUGAGGAGAUGAGAGAAUUUCAGGUCUGAAUGGUGAGGGGAUGUUAUUCACUUGUUAGAACUUAAGUUAGAAUGCACUGUACAGGGGGGUUUUAUGUGUUGUACAGGGGGGUCUAGAAUUCUGUACAUGGAUCAGGAGUCCCAAGAUGGAGGAAUUUGGGCGUGCCCUGUCCUUCUUCUUUCUUCUCCUUGGCAUCCAUGUUCAGGAUGAUGUUGGCAUGUGUGGAUUGGUUCAUAGAAAGAGGACACUUGCCAACAAGGGCAGAAAGUAUUGGGAAGUAAAGGUAAAUAUCGAAUACGUAAUUUUCAUUAUAAAAGAGACAACCGCCUCGUGGGCGGGGGAGAGUGCCUUUGGCUGUCCUGCUGAACAGACCUCGGCUGGACAGACAGAAAAUCUUUGUAGAUAAGAAAUAAUAAACUCGACUGAAGACCGAAA